rnacentral:rRNA from 1 species
AUGUCGUUCCACCGCAGCAGCAGCUCCGGCACCGGCGGCGACGACGGACCCAGCGCGUGGCCGUCGAGCCUGAGUACGCCGGAGACGGAGGAGCUGCACCGGUUUGGGCUCCUCGUGCCGCCGGGUUGCCGUCUUCCGCACGACUGGAAGCUCGACAAGGACGGCUACCCGACGCGCGGGCCCGGCGCCACCGCCGAGGAGAAGCGGACCGGCGGCCGCAACAACAUCGCCGGCCGUCACGCGUUCUGGGACGGCAAAGACUACGCCACCGUCAUCGGCGCGUACCGGCUGGCGGAGUCCGGCGUCACGCCUGACCUCGUCGGCGACCGUCGCCGCCCUCUUGUCCCGCGCCCCCGUCCAGCAGCGCGCGGCCGUCGGGCUCCUCCCGCACCUGCGCCGGCGCCCGCCGAUCCCCCCGCCCCGCCGGAGGUGGAACUGCCGCCGGAGUAG